AAAUUAUUUUUGUUGUUAACUGUAAACGGCCAAUGUAAAUUGUCUUUAUGUGCGACAAAGAAUACUUCUGUUAAAUGUUUUUGGGUGUUAUUUCUUCACGCAACCGAAUAAAACUCGUAACAAAACCUUUGAAGGAAUGUACGAAGCAAAGUAGUAAUAAUGUGCAUUGUAAAGGUUCGUUAUUAUGACGUCAUAAUAAGUGAUGCUUCAAGAAUACGCAGUAAGAGAAAAAGAUGUAGGUGGAGUAAAAAGAGGAGAUGAAUUAAGAAGAGGGAGAGGAGGAAUUUAAGUGGAAGUGGGGAGAAGAAAAGACAAGAGGAAGAAGACAAAUAGGUGGAAGAGAAAGCGAGAGAGAAGUGAAAAAAAAAAGAACCUAAAGAAGCUAUGUUCGUGAAUUCAAAUUCCACCGAGGUCAGCUUUGCCUUACACGAUUCUGGAGUCGAUAAAAUGAAAUACCUUUCAGGAAGCUGAAGAAAAGCCAAAGCUGGGACUCGAGGAGUUUUAAAGUUAAGAAAAACCAUAAUAAGGAACUGUACGAGUUUCUUGUUAUUGUUUCUCGUAAAUGUGAACAGCAGGAGACUAAACCAACCAAUUUUGGAUCGAGAAAAUAUUGGAUCAGUACAACGUCCAUCUAGUAUGCCAAGGGUCGUAUAUAGGUGAAAACAGCGGAAAAAGCUAACGAACAAGUGAAGUAUUUCUGUUGGUGAUGGAAUAACUGAAGCCAAGCUUUUCUUCUCGUUAAAGAAAAGAUCAAUAAGCUGACAGAUAGCAUAAGGUCAUGGAAACCUGGUAGUUAAUUUUGAAAAUCAUGGAAUUAAAACCCGAUUCGACUUCCACAAAAAAUACGAUCACGGAGUUCUGCUUUUUUUAAAGCCUAAGUCUGAUCUAUUUAUCACAUGUGUCUGAUGUACAGGUCAUAUUUCUGAGGUGCCCAUGCAUCGUAUAUGAUGCAUAUACAAAUAUUUUUCAAUCAGCAGCAUAAUUUGGGCUAUAUUAAAGGAGAGUUUAAUAUUACUUAGAACGUAUGACACAAGGGUUAACUAAAAAUCUGAAACAAGCAUGAAUAUUUAAGACAAGCUUAUGAAAACGAUUCAGAGAGGCAAAGAGCGAAGAAGACAAAAUUUGUUUCGUGAAAAAUCAGUGAUGAUGUCUUUAUAACGGUCAUACCCAUGUUACAAUAUUCUUACCAUACUCCAAUAUAGGAUUGAGUUCUUGCAAAAUUCGUUUUGUACAAAUGCAAUGAUGUUACUCCUAACAUAUUCUGCGAUUUCUUAUUCAUAUUCUUCCAAAUCUAAUUAUCCUGAAUGACAUUUAAACUGGAAAUAACUGUGUGGAACACAUAUCUUCAAAUUCCUUUUCGAGACUUGCGUGACAGAAAAAUUUGGGUCAAGUAGAGAACUUCAGCAGAGAAAAUUAUUAAAUGGAAUGUUGUUUCUAAACUAUUUGGAAACUUAUUCGUUUGAUACUUUGAUCACUCUUCACAUUUUGCGUGCAAACACAUACACAUCAAUGCGUUCGUGCCCAUCUAUCUAUCUAUCUAUCUAUCUAUCUAUCUAUCUAUCUAUCUAUCUAUCUAUCUGUCUGUCUGUCUGUCUGU